UGGGGAAUAUUGCACAAUGGGCGCAAGCCUGAUGCAGCCAUGCCGCGUGUGUGAAGAAGGCCUUCGGGUUGUAAAGCACUUUCAGCGAGGAGGAAGGUGGUGGACUUAAUACGUUCAUCAAUUGACGUUACUCGCAGAAGAAGCACCGGCUAACUCCGUGCCAGCAGCCGCGGUAAUACGGAGGGUGCAAGCGUUAAUCAGAAUUACUGGGCGUAAAGCGCACGCAGGCGGUUUGUUAAGUCAGAUGUGAAAUCCCCGGGCUCAACCUGGGAACUGCAUUUGAAACUGGCAAGCUAGAGUCUCGUAGAGGGGGGUAGAAUUCCAGGUGUAGCGGUGAAAUGCGUAGAGAUCUGGAGGAAUACCGGUGGCGAAGGCGGCCCCCUGGACGAAGACUGACGCUCAGGUGCGAAAAGCGUGGGGAGCAAAACAGGAUUAGAUACCCUGGUAGUCCACGCUGUAAAACGAUGUCGAUUUUGGAGGUUGUGCCCCUUGAGGCGUGGCUUCCGGAGCUAACGCGUUAAAUCGACCG
rnacentral:rRNA from 1 species